GAUGGUGUGGAGCAGUAUGGAAAAAAUGCUGAAUUUCAAUUCAGAAGUUCUAGGUUCAAAUCCUAGCACUGUCA
rnacentral:tRNA from 1 species